UUAUUGAGUAAUCAUUCUGGCUGUAAGACGAUUUUUCUCGGCAUCCUACAAUCUGGACUCAGAAAGUAAAUCACUCAGGAGUGGUUCUCAAAAUGUGCUCAGUAGACCAAUGGUGGUCCUUAAGGGCCCUCCAGGUGGUUCGUGGGUUGGUCGGAAAUGCAAAUCACUGACGCGCAACGUCAUGGCCGAGGUCAUACGAAAGAACAGGCCAGAACCUUCAUCGAGCGAAGGUAGGUGGUCAGACGAAAAGGUUUGAGAACCACUGAUCUAGAUUAAAAACAGAUAUUUUGAAGAGCUUUGAAAUCCUAAGACUUGAGUAAGUUAAAAAAAAAACAUUGUAAAUUUAUUGUAUUGUGUUUCAAAAAAGUAAUCUUAUUAUUUCCUAAAAUAUUGGUUAAUUAAAACAUUUUUGGGAGGUAUUGUAAAAUAAGUAUGAGUUAGUAAUUAUUUUCUCUUUCUUUUGAAGGGUGUACGAUAUUAUAAAGUCGCAUUAUCCAAACUUUACUCUUGUCAGUUUCUUUAAGUGUUGCAUAUUACUUGAUUAUAUUUUUACCGAAUACAUUCUUUUGCAUGCACUUCGGUACCAAGGGCGGCUGACACUGCGUGGUUUAGGGGCGGUUUGUACCGAUUCAGGGCAAGGUUAGUGAUCGUUAACUACUUUGAGUCGGUACGAAUCACUUCAACCAUGUCCUCUCAUCGAGAAGACAACAGUUCCAUAGUGCCAAGCUCUGGAGUAUUGAAAUAAAGCGAGAUCUGUAAACCUCGUGCCUUAGAGACCAUAGACUCAUAACUGUUUACAUGUUGUUAUUGAACUUAGAAAAGUGAAAAUAUAAUAAAUUCCCUUAUCGUUUAUGAUAUUUGGAAAAACAAAAUAAACCCUGAAGAUGUUGAGCUUCAAAGCUGAUGCAUACAUAAAUCAUGCUGUAAAAUCAAUAUUGGUUCAUCCUCACGGUGGUGGUGUUCAUUUCAUUUUUUUCCUGACUGGUUAAACACACUUCAAUAAACAUUUUAUUCAUGACAUUACAAUACAUAAAUAUAUUCAGCAGCUAAUUCAAUUUCACUCCUUGUGAAUACAUUUCAUAUCCAAACUAAUACAUAGAGUUUAGGUUCACAGUUAAAACUACUUAGUAACCAACCUUUUUUAAAUUCUAGGCGUAGGUUUGUUUGUUUUAGGGCAAAGCUACACAAUGGGCUAUCUGCGCUGUGUUCAUCGUGGGGAAUUGAGUCCUGGAUUUGAGCGUUGUAAGUCUGUGAACAUACCGCUGAUCCACUGGAAAACUAGACUUAGCUGUCUUAGUUUUCUCCUGAAGUUAGGAGUAGGCAUCUUAGUUGGUAACCAAUUCCAAUCUAAAAUUAAACUUAGAUAUUUAAUUAAAACCAGCCUUCUUCUAAAACUGGGUUUAAUUAUCUGCUUGGCAACCUGUAUCUUUCGGAAUCUAAGACUAGUAUCCAAAUUUGAAACUAGGCCUACGUAUCUGCUUAGUAAAAAGACUGUUUCUGACACUAGGCCUAGGUAUAUUUACUUAGUAGCCUGACUUUUUAUGAAGCUAAGCCUAGGUAUCUACUUUGUAACCAGACUUUUCUGAAACUAGGCCUAAGUAUAUCCUCUUAGUAACUAACAUUUUCCUGAAGCUAAGCUUUGAUAACAUCAUAGCAGCCAGACUUUUUUCUGAAGAUAAUCCUGGAUAUCCAGUUAGUGACAACCUGCUUUCUGCAUUUAAACUUGGGUAUUUAAGUAUUAAAAUCAUUGUACCUAAAAUCUAAAAAUGCUCAUUUUUUAUUGUUUAUAAAAUAAUAUUCCUCUAACAUUCAAGUAACUUGAAUAUUUUAUAAAAUGAAACUAAAUACCUUGAUUUCUUACAAAUGUCUCCGUAUACAUACACACACACACAUAUAGUUAAGUUAUCAAUACAAAAGUGUAAUUUUAUCCAUUAUUAUUAUCUGCAACAAAAGAAUGUUGUGAAUUUUCAUUUCAUUUCAAUGCAUUGUGCAAUAUCAAAUAUUACGUGAGAUUUCAUAUUGUUGCUGUUUUAGUCGUUAUUUCUAACCACAAUUAAAUAUAAUAAAUAAAGCCUAAGUUUCCAAGAAAACUUUAAUAAAUAGUAUUCAACAGAACCAUACAAGGUUGGCCAAAGUGUCAAACAGAACCGUACAAGGUUGGUAAAAUUGUCAAAUAGAACAGUCCAAAGUUGGCUAAUGUGUCAAACGGAACUGCACAAGGUUGAUAAAAGUGUCAAACAGAACCGUACAAGGUUGGUCAAAGUGUCAAACAGAACCUUCCGAGGUUGGUUAAAGUGUCAAAGGUGACACAGAAAUUGAACAGCACGCUGAAAAAUCAAUUUGAAUGACUACAUAUCCCGCUCCGUUUAAACCUGUUUUUACGAAUAACGUCUCAUCAAAGUAAGCUGACUUAAUAGAUUAGAAAUCAAUAUUAACACAGUAAUUGAUAAAGCUAACUGGAAUUAUACAAUGAAAUUAAAUAAAAACUCACAGUGAUUAGAAUGCAACGAAUCGUCAAUUUCUUAAACUUGAAUAGCUUAUUCCAAAGUUGUAUUUUUUAUAUAGAUUUACAGGAAAUAUGACUGAUUAAAGCCAGAACUCACGAAAGUGUGUCACACUAAAAAAUUGGAAAUAUAAAUAAGUAUAUUUAAUUUCUUUAAUAACAGUCUGGCUUUUGAGAAUUAUACGUUAAAACCCACUAGCACAUUAAUUAUAUCAAAAACACAACUACAUUAUAAUUCACUUAGAUUAUAAGAUUUUGAAAACCUAGAUAAUAUAUUAAAAUAAAACAUAAAAUGAAUUUGAAUUAGUCAAACAAAUGUAGAAACUGAACAAACUUGAAGAACAAUAUCACAUUUAUUAGCUGACAUUUUCUUUGGAAAUGUAGUUUAAAUCCAUUUAACUGCAAAGGAAAUUGUUGCAAUAUCAGUUAUACAAUUAUUCGUUUCAUUAUAAACUUAGAUAAUUAUCACUACAUAGUAAUCAGCUUUUUAUUUUAUUUUAGGCUUAGCUUUCUCAUCAGUCACAAUCUUUCUUACGAAGCUAAGCCUAGUUAUUCUUUUAGUGACUGGCUUCUUUCUGCAAUUGAACAUGAUUCCUCCCAGACUUGGUUUAAAUGGCAAUUGUAAAAAGCUUAUGUUGAAAUAAUUUAAAUUUUGUUUCUUAAAUGGAAGCACACUUUCAAGAAAAUGUCAGGGGAUAAGUGAAACAUUCUUCACCAAAUUUAUACGCUCUUUUAGCCUAAUGAAUAGCUAAGGUUUAUUUUAUGUUUUAUUUUAAUAGACUAUCUAGGUUUCCUUCCAUAAAUCUAAUCAUUUAAGUGGAUCGUAUAGGUCUUAUAAUGGAUAUAUUUGAACUCGAAAUUUCCGUAAGGAAUAGAGAGGUGUUUUUUUUUCUGAAUCUACAAAAUACUGUAUAUUUGAUUUAAAAUCUGCAUAUUCAUACCUGUUUCCACUGGCGUGUAAAAUGAUGAAUAAGUGUAGAAUAGCGUGGUUAACUGAGACGAUAUAUAUUUUACUGUAUAAGAAAACAUUUUGUACUUCACUUUGAAAAUCGAGGGCUUAUAACGUUAAGAUUCGGGAUUCGAUUCUCUCACGGUUGGCACAACACAGAUAGCUCAUUGUACAGUUUUAUACUUAACGAUAAACGUACAAACUACGCAAAAUUUAUCCAUAAAUAAAAGUUUAAAAAGUGUUUUAAAUCCAGUUAAUACAUUUGAUCAUGUGUUUUAAAUCCUGUUAAUACAUUUGAUCAUGUGUUUUAAAUCCUGUUAAUACAUUUGAUCAUGUUUUUCUGUAUAAAAACAUUACACGUGUGCUAAAUAACUAUACUGUUCGUCACUACUUGAUUUAAUAAAGCGAUGACACCUGUA
rnacentral:lncRNA from 1 species